UAGUGAAAAAAUAGUUUUGAAUAUUUAUGAUUGUUGACUUUUUUUGAGUCUGAUUUAGGAAUUUUAAUCAGACUUUUAUCGACUUUUAUGGAAAGACUCAAUGGAAAUGCUCUUUUAGUAACUGGUAUCAUUAAUCAAAGUUAAAUGAAUCUUUUCGGAUAAACAUUUGAUUAGGUUAUGAUAAAGUUUAGAUAAGGAUUACGUUAAGUCUACACGAAAACAAGACUGAAUUAUACUUUUAUCGACUUCUAUGCAAAGAUUCGAUGGAAAUGCUUUUUUAGCAACUGGUAUCAUUAAACAAAAACUAAUAAAUCAUUCCGGAUAAACAUUUGGUAAAGCAUUAACAUCCGUAACGAAUGGGUCAUGUGUUAUAUUAUGCUCAUAAGGGAACUUUGGUUUUUUUUAACAUAUUUACAAAAAUGUCUUCUGCGACAUUUUUGUUUUUUAUAUGUUUUGUUGGCAAAAGUUCAAGCGUACUAAGAUUUUUUUUAAUGUUAGUUCCCAAACUCCCUACAAUUUUGUUAUGAUGAGCGUUAGAAAUGGACUCGUCAAGUCUAUACGGAAAUUAAAUAUUGUAUUUAUCGUCGAUUAUUUCUAUAAUAGAUGUUUUUGUGUAACUUCCGUGGCCAUUCAUGAUGACGUAACAUGUUUUGUUUGGCAUUUCGUUUGAAAUAAGCAACAAAAUAGAACAGAAAAAGCUUAAAUAGCCCACAAUACAAAGUAAUACAUCUUUUCAUACACGCGUACUGACUUCAUAUUAGUAUUUUAAACUAAUUUUUUUUAAUUAGUAUUUAAAACUUCA